rnacentral:misc_RNA from 1 species
GAUGAAGAACGUAGUGAAAUGCGAUAAGUAAUGUGAAUUGCAGAAUUCAGUGAAUCAUCGAAUCUUUGAACGCACCUUGCACCCUUUGGCAUUCUGAAGGGUAUGCUCGUUUGAGUGUCAUUGUACUCUCACACUCCCGAUCUUUGCAUUGGGAGCAGUGGACUUGGGUUUGCUGCUUCACCGUCGCUUACCUCAAAUAGGUUAGUGCAACUCUUGGUUGGACAUAGUACGGCGUGAUAAGUGUUUUUCGCCGGUGCCUCGCAAAGAGGGUGGCCGAUCGGGAUGUUGUGCUCCAAACCGUCUUCGGACAAUCUCUGACGACUUGACCUCAAAUCGAGUAAGACUACCCGCUGAACUUAAGCAUAUCAAUAAGCGGAGGA